rnacentral:rRNA from 1 species
UCCAGACUCCUACGGGAGGCAGCAGUGGGGAAUAUUGCACAAUGGGGGAAACCCUGAUGCAGCGACGCCGCGUGAGCGAAGAAGUACCUCGGUAUGUAAAGCUCUAUCAGCAGGGAAGAAGAUGACGGUACCUGACCAAGAAGCUCCGGCUAAAUACGUGCCAGCAGCCGCGGUAAUACGUAGGGGGCAAGCGUUAUCCGGAUUUACUGGGUGUAAAGGGAGCGUAGACGGCAUGGCAAGUCAGAUGUGAAAGCCCGGGGCUCAACCCCGGGACUGCAUUUGAAACUGUCAGGCUGGAGUGCAGGAGAGGUAAGUGGAAUUCCUAGUGUAGCGGUGAAAUGCGUAGAUAUUAGGAGGAACACCAGUGGCGAAGGCGGCUUACUGGACUGUAACUGACGUUGAGGCUCGAAAGCGUGGGGAGCAAACAGGAUUAGAUACCCUGUA